rnacentral:rRNA from 1 species
CUGCCGCGUGCUUACCAUGCAAGUCGUACGAGAACGCUUCAGCUUGCUGAAGCUAGUAAAGUGGCGUACGGGUGAGUAACGCGUGGGUAAUCUACCUCCGAAUCGGGGAUAACAUUGCGAAAGCGAUGCUAAUACCGGGUAAUAUUCUGAAGUCUCCGGACUUUGGAAUCAAAGGUGGUCUCUCCAUGGAAGCUACCGUUUGGAGAUGAGCCCGCGUCCCAUUAGCUUGUUGGUAGGGUAACGGCCUACCAAGGCUACGAUGGGUAGCUGGUCUGAGAGGAUGAUCAGCCACACUGGAACUGACACACGGUCCAGACUCCUACGGGAGGCAGCAGUGAGGAAUUUUGCGCAAUGGGGGAAACCCUGACGCAGCAACGCCGCGUGAGUGAUGAAGGCUUUCGGGUCGUAAAGCUCUGUCUAGUGGGAAGAACCCAUCCUGGAACAACACAACAGGAUGCUGACGGUACCACUGAAGGAAGCACCGGCUAACUCCGUGCCAGCAGCCGCGGUAAUACGGAGGGUGCAAGCGUUAUUCGGAAUUACUGGGCGUAAAGGGCGCGUAGGCGGCCUUUUAAGUCGGAUGUGAAAGCCCGGGGCCUAACCCCGGAAGUGCAUUCGAUACUGAGAGGCUUGAGUAUGGGAGAGGGAAGUGGAAUUCCUGGUGUAGAGGUGAAAUUCGUAGAUAUCAGGAGGAACACCUGUGGCGAAGGCGACUUCCUGGACCAAUACUGACGCUGAGGCGCGAAGGCGUGGGGAGCAAACAGGAUUAGAUACCCUGUAGUCCACGCAGUAACGGUGAUCACUACGUGUAGCGGGUAUUGACCCCUGCUGUGCGCAGCUAACGCAUUAAGUGAUCCGCCUGGGGAGUACGGCCGCAAGGAUAAACUCCCAAAG